rnacentral:lncRNA from 1 species
CACUUCAGCCCAGAAAGCUGAACUCAUUGCUUUCAUUCGGGCCUUAGAACUCAGUGAGGGUGAGACUGUCAACAUUUACACUGAUUCUUGGUAUGUCUUUUUAACCCUUCAAGUGCAUGGAGCGUGAUAGAAAGAAAAGGGCCUAUUGAACUCUGGGGGAAAAGACAGAAAAUAUCAACAAGAAAUCUUGCAAUUAUUAGAAGCAGUAUGGAAACCCCACAAGGUGGC